GACAGAGGGGGCAAGCGUUGCUCGGAAUCACUGGGCGUAAAGGGCGCGUAGGCGGGAUGGCAAGUCGGUCGUGAAAUCCUUCGGCUCAACCGAAGAACGUCGGCCGAUACUGCCGUUCUUGAGGGAUGCAGAGGAGAUUGGAAUUCCCGGUGUAGCGGUGAAAUGCGUAGAUAUCCGGAGGAACACCGGUGGCGAAGGCGGCUUCCUGGACCGACACUGACGCUGAGGCGCGAAAGCUAGGGGAGCAAACGGG
rnacentral:rRNA from 1 species